UGGAUCCAGACUUUGAUCAUGGCUCAGGAUGAACGCUAGCUACAGGCUUGACACAUGCAAGUCGAGGGGCAGCAUGAUUGAAGCUUGCUUCAAUCGAUGGCGACCGGCGCACGGGUGAGUAACACGUAUCCAACCUGCCGAUAACUCGGGGAUAGCCUUUCGAAAGAAAGAUUAAUACCCGAUAGCAUAGUUUUUCCGCAUGGUUCCACUAUUAAAGAAUUUCGGUUAUCGAUGGGGAUGCGUUCCAUUAGAUAGUUGGCGGGGUAACGGCCCACCAAGUCAACGAUGGAUAGGGGUUCUGAGAGGAAGGUCCCCCACAUUGGAACUGAGACACGGUCCAAACUCCUACGGGAGGCAGCAGUGAGGAAUAUUGGUCAAUGGACGAGAGUCUGAACCAGCCAAGUAGCGUGAAGGAUGACUGCCCUAUGGGUUGUAAACUUCUUUUAUACGGGAAUAAAGUGGAGUAUGCAUACUCCUUUGUAUGUACCGUAUGAAUAAGGAUCGGCUAACUCCGUGCCAGCAGCCGCGGUAAUACGGAGGAUCCGAGCGUUAUCCGGAUUUAUUGGGUUUAAAGGGAGCGUAGGCGGGUGCUUAAGUCAGUUGUGAAAGUUUGCGGCUCAACCGUAAAAUUGCAGUUGAUACUGGGCGCCUUGAGUGCAGCAUAGGUAGGCGGAAUUCGUGGUGUAGCGGUGAAAUGCUUAGAUAUCACGAAGAACUCCGAUUGCGAAGGCAGCUUACUGGACUGUAACUGACGCUGAUGCUCGAAAGUGUGGGUAUCAAACAGGAUUAGAUACCCUGGUAGUCCACACAGUAAACGAUGAAUACUCGCUGUUGGCGAUACACAGUCAGCGGCCAAGCGAAAGCAUUAAGUAUUCCACCUGGGGAGUACGCCGGCAACGGUGCAACUCAAAUGAAUUGACGGA
rnacentral:rRNA from 1 species